GGGUGAAUAGCUUAAUGGUAAAGCAGUAGUUUUGUAAACUAUUGAUUCGAAGUUCGAAUCUUCGUUUACCCU